ensembl:lncRNA
CUGUAAGUCCAGGGAUAGGACUCUCAGCUCCAUGCAUGCCACCAUGAUGAUAAUGGACUGAAGCUCAGAAAAUGUCCUCGGCUCCCAUUCACACCAUGGCAAGCGAGGGACACAGGACCCUGGAGGACCUGAUGGGCAGCAGUGCUGGUAGGAGUAGUUCCAGAUGGGCUCCUCAGGUACUGACAGAGACAUCUGCUCCGUUUAGCACUGAAGUUGAUCAAGUACUCUGGGCCUUGGAGUGCACAUCUGCAACUUCCCGAUGCUGGGUGGACAUCCCCAAACUUCUGGAAGGAGAGCUUAUCUGUGCAGCAUUCAGCACAAACAGUCAUGAUUGUCUGUAGUCACUCAGGCAGGGACCGUGCCCAGGUGCUGAACAUCAGAGUGACAGCUGAAGGAUUUGCAUUCUCACAGGGGACUGGACAGAGUGUUUUGGCCAUGGUGCUUCCUUGAAACUCAAGUUCCAGAUCCUUCUUGGGGCUGGGGCCAUUGCUUGCCACUAGGACACGAGACAUGGCUGGCUCUUUGUUUUGUUUAUGUGUGUGCUCAUGUUCAUGUGAGUGUGUCCAUGUGUGUCUGACAGUGUGCGUGCAUGUGAAUCUAUACGCAUGGAGAGGUUCAUGGCCAGUAUCUUCCUUGGUUACUCUCUAACUUACUGGUUUUUCGUUGUUGCUGCUGCUGCUGCUGUUUUGUUUUGUUUCUUUUUGUUUGUUUGUUUGGUUGUUUGGUUUGGUUUUUCCAGACAAGAGUUUCUCUGUGAAACAGUCCUGGCUGUCCUGGAACUCACUCUGUAGAUGAGGCUGGCCUCGAACUCACAGAGCUCCACCUGCUUCUGCCUCCCGAGUGCUGGGAUUAAAGGAGUGAGCCACCAACGCCCCUGCUGCUGCUUUGUGUGUGUGUGCGCGCGCGCGCGCGCGCACGUGUGUGUGUGUGUGUGCGCGUGCGUGUGUGUGUGUGUGUGCGUGUGCGUGUGUGUGUGUGUGUGUGUGUGUGUGUGUGUGUGUUUUGCCUGCAUUUAUAUGCAUCGUGAGGGUGACCGGUGUCUGUGGAGGUUAGAAUAGGAGUCACUGAUGGUUGUGAACAGCUGUGUGGGUGCUGGAAACCAAACCUGGGUCCUUUGCAAGAGCAACAGCUCUUUAAAAAAAUUUUUUUUUCCAAAGCUACACAGAGAAACCCUGUCUCGAAAAAUCAAAAAAAAAUUUUUUUUAAUUUCAUUUUACAUUCCCACCAAAGUUCUCCUUCCCACCCUUCCUCCUUGCUCCUCCUCCCCUCCCCUCAGCCCAUCCCCCACCCACUCCUCCCAACAGGUAAGGGCUCCCAUGGGGAGUCACACCGUUUGGCACAUUAAGUUGGGCAGGACCAAGUCUCUCCCUGCUGUGUUAAGGCUGAGCAUGGCAUUUCCUCAUAGGCAAUGGGCUCUAACAAGCUAGCUCAUGCAGCAGGAAUAGAUCCUGGUCCUACAGUCAGGGCUCCCUCAGAUAGCCCAAGCUUCACAACUGUCUCCCACAUACAGAGAGACACAUGGAUCGCUCUGGGAAGGGAAAUUAGAUGAGAUCUCCCAGCUGUCAUCAUGGAGCCUUUAUUCAGUAAUUGAUGGAACCAGAUGCAGAGAUCCACAACUAAGUACCAGGCUGAACUCUGGGAAUCCAGUCAGAGAAGAAGGAAGGAAUAUAUGAGCAAGGGAGGUCAAGAUCAUGAUGGGGAAAUCUACAGAGACAGCUGAACCAAGCUCGUGGAAACUUGUAAACUCUGGACUGAUGGCUAUGGAGGCUCCAUGGCGGGGGCAACAGCUCCAGUCUCACAGCUUAUUUUCUGAGACAAGGCCUCUCACUGGGCCAGGGGCUUAGUGACUUGGCUAGCUCCAUUGUUAGGGGUACAGGUGUACCCUGCCACAGGCUCUCAUACAGCUGCUAAGGACCUGAACUCAUGUCCUCAUGCUUGUAUGGAAACCAUUUUACUGACUGAGAUGUUGCACUUAGAAAUGUCCUCUUUUGGUCUCCAUGGGCACCUUAUGUACAGCCAGCCAGGCUGUCUCCACUCCACAGAGGAACAAACCCAGCUUCCCAGGGCGGGGUGGGCUGGGGAUUUGCCCAGUGCUCACUGGUGUGGGUGACUGGGUCUCCAGGGUCAUCCGCCUUCCCCUCUGCAUCAGAUGGAGGACUUGGCCUUGGGAGCAGACCAAGAACAGGUGGGCCCAGUCUCUGUCCUGAAGCAGGAGCAUGCCAUCUCUCCAGGCUUCCUAGCUGCCUCAUGCUACCCUCACAUCCGCACAGAGGCAGGUGAGGGUUCCUCACCAGCAAUGCCUGGGACGAGCAGAAUUUCAGAUUUUCUAUAUAUAUUUCACUGUUUUCAUAAGCUUUGCUAGUUGGCUGUCCCGAAUCCAAAAACCCCGGUUCUGAAACUUGUUGAUCAUUAGUUCUCAAACUCAGAGCAAACAGCUAACUAGUGAUUAUUGACAUAUCAAAGUGGGUGCUGGCCACCACUCUCUCAGCACCACCAAUACCUGGCAUAUCCUGCCCUCAACCUGAAACUCCAGUCCAGGGCCCCGGCUGUGCUUACUUUUCCCCAGCUCAUCAGCCAUUUUGGCUAUACCCUCUCUUGGCCCAGGUCCCCGUUCUUGGUCUCCCCCCUGCCCCCUCUCCUCACAUGGCCCAGCUCAGUCUAGACUCUCCCAGAUGCCUCUAUCUCUGCCUCUGGCUAUUUCCUCUCUUUUAUCUACAAUAAACGUCUCCUCCACCACACCUAGGAGCUGUCCUCUCUUUUCAUUCAUUGAGAAUGGUAGCAUGCUUGGUCUGCAUCAACACCAUUGGACAGAUGGGAAACCAAGGCUAAGAGAGCUCGGGCAAUUUGCCCAGAAUCACCAGCCCAUGUGUGACCAAGCCAGGACUUACACAUGUGCCUGUCUGCAGUGCCUUGGCCCUUGGCCAAGUUUCUUACCUCUUUACCCUUGAUGUAUGGGACUGGGUUGUGGAAAUGUAGGUCUAUUGAGUGGCAUCCCUGACCCACGGCAGUGGCUUCCCUCCCUGACCACAAUGUCUCCAGGGCCCUGGAGAAACCUUGCCGCUACUACUAGGACUCCAGGGCCCGGGCUGAAGAUGUAGCUGACAGCUACUCUGUAGCGGGCUUAGGGACAAAAGCAGAGUUGAAAGGACUGAACGGCAGCUUCAGAGAGUUUUGGCUCUGUGACCCUGAUAUCUGGUCCCCAGCAGAGGUAUUGGCUGAUGUCAGCCUGCUGAGAUGAACCCAAGAUGACUGCAGGGCCUUUGAUCUCAGGAAUAACUGGUGUGCCGUGGGUUGGGGAGGAGAGAAUACUGUUACCCCACCCCUGGUUGUCUAAGUGUCUCCUGCCUGGGAUGGAUUUGUCUGGUGGCCAUUAGGGAGCUGUCUGAUGGUUAUCUCCCAGACAGCUUGGUUCUCUCUGUCUGUGAAUCUAAAC